rnacentral:tRNA from 1 species
GGCGACAUAGCUCAGUCGGUAGAGCAAACGGCUCAUAUCCGUUUGGUCAUUGGUUCAAGUCCAAUUGUCGCUACCA